rnacentral:lncRNA from 1 species
UCACAUAUGAUUGUGUGGCCAGACUGUAUAACAAACAAGAACUGUGUGGUUCCAAAGUCUCUUUCAUUCCAGUAGUCAUAUGGCCAUGUCACUAGCCCAUGUGUGAUACACGACAGUGUGUCAGCCCGUAUGGCACAAAAUAUGUCAUUUUAAACUUGUUACAAAACAACAUAAACUUUUAACACAUUGGUGCAUGCUUACACCUUUAAACCUGCAUCAAACCAUACCAAGCAUAUACUAAGAUGUUCUUUAUCUACACGAAACUUCUAAACAUUCAAACAAGAAAUGCAAAAAAAAAAAAAAAUCAACAUCUCAUUCCAACUUCUUUACCUCCAACAUUUUCCAC